AAAACUUUCAACAACGGAUCUCUUGGUUCCGGCAUCGAUGAAGAACGCAGCGAAAUGCGAUACGUAAUGUGAAUUGCAAAUUCAGUGAAUCAUCGAGUCUUUGAACGCACAUUGCGCCCCCUGGUAUUCCGGGGGGCAUGCCUGUCCGAGCGUCAUU
rnacentral:rRNA from 9 species